GGCUGUUUAGUCUAGUGGUAUGAUUCUCGCUUCGGGUGCGAGAGGUCCCGGGUUCAUUCCCGGAACAGCCC
rnacentral:tRNA from 1 species